CACUGCUGGGUUCUGCGGUUCUGAUUCUGACCUGCCAAUAGCAGAAAGCGACAAACCUGAGAGAGAGGCCUGCGGUCUACCUCAAUCAUCUGAUUGAACCAACCCAUCUUCCAUUCCAUCCCUCCAUCAUAAACAGAUGAAGAUCCUAAACUCCUUCACUUCAGGCUGAGAUCCACUCGCAGCCUAGAGGAGGAAAUCCUCCUUUUCUGGCCUCAAACCUAGAGGGAGGAACGAGGCCAUAAAUCAACUCUGACACAGAGGCAGCGUCUGAAGCGAGCAGGCAGCAGAGGAGACAUGUCCAGUUAUCUCCACAGGGAGAGAAAACGCUAAAAACUUAAGGAAAAACAAACUAACAACACAUAAUUAUGAUCUAAUUUGUAGGACAUUUUUCUUAGCUAUUAACAGCAUGAUUUGAUUAGUUGUAGUUUAAUUUGUAGUGUUAUAUUAACACCACUAGUAGUGUCAAACCCAGGCUAAACUGUAACAUCAAACAUACAAUCAGAACUAGAGUAACAUUAAUUAGGAAAAUGUCUAGAAUGAAUGUGUUUCGUAUUGA